AGUUUUUCGAUGUUCUUUAAUUUGAGUAUUUACAUUUCUGCAUAUCAAUUCUAUUAUUCAACACAGACAAUGAAUUGGCUUAUUUGGAGAGCAUUCACUUAUUUGUGGAGAUACUGGACCAUUUUUUCAGCAACGUGUGUGAGCUAGUCUCGUAUUUAAUUUCCACAAGCUUAUUACCUCCUGAGCUGGAAAUCUUCCAUUGGACCUAUCCAAGCUUAGUUUCACACAUGGACUCUAUCUUGGGCCUUAAAUUAUGUGUGCCCCAGCUUCCAACACAGAUUGAUUUCUAAUUCUUUUGGUAUUUGGAUUUCUAACCAGUUGGUGUGUGUAUAUCUCAUACUAGAUGAGUUCAUACUUGCUGGGGAACUCCAAGAAACAAGCAAGAAGGUUUGCUACAAAUAAGGUCGCAUCUUCGACGCAUUAUAUUUAAAAUAUGAAGUAUAUAUGCAUGGAAUAUUUUCCCAUUGGUAACAGUUCUCAGCUCUCCUACCGCCGAUUCGUCCGAUUGAAGAGGAAUUCAAUUGGAAAUUAUCAAUAUUUUCGCGAUUCAGGAGAAGCUGUACCAGGAGAUCGUCGGCGUGGCGGAGGGCGACGUGGUGGAGGAGGAGGAUCUGCAGAAGCUGCCGUAUCUGAAGGCAGUGGUGCUGGAGGCGCUGCGGCGGCAUCCAACGGGGCACUUUGUGUUGGCGCACAAGGUGAAGGAGGAGGUGGAUCUGGACGGUUACCGAAUC